rnacentral:rRNA from 1 species
AGAGUUUGAUCCUGGCUCAGGAUGAACGCUAGCUACAGGCUUAACACAUGCAAGUCGAGGGGCAGCAUGGUCUUAGCUUGCUAAGGCCGAUGGCGACCGGCGCACGGGUGAGUAACGCGUAUCCAACCUGCCUUACACUCUUGGACAGCCUUCUGAAAGGGAGAUUAAUACAAGAUGUUAUCAUGAGUAAGCAUUUUCGCAUGAUUAAAGGUUUACCGGUGUAAGAUGGGGAUGCGUUCCAUUAGAUAGUAGGCGGGGUAACGGCCCACCUAGUCUUCGAUGGAUAGGGGUUCUGAGAGGAAGGUCCCCCACAUUGGAACUGAGACACGGUCCAAACUCCUACGGGAGGCAGCAGUGAGGAAUAUUGGUCAAUGGACGAGAGUCUGAACCAGCCAAGUAGCGUGAAGGAUGACUGCCCUAUGGGUUGUAAACUUCUUUUAUACGGGAAUAAAGUGAGGCACGUGUGCCUUUUUGUAUGUACCGUAUGAAUAAGGAUCGGCUAACUCCGUGCCAGCAGCCGCGGUAAUACGGAGGAUCCGAGCGUUAUCCGGAUUUAUUGGGUUUAAAGGGAGCGUAGAUGGAUGUUUAAGUCAGUUGUGAAAGUUUGCGGCUCAACCGUAAAAUUGCAGUUGAUACUGGAUGUCUUGAGUACAGUUGAGGCAGGCGGAAUUCGUGGUGUAGCGGUGAAAUGCUUAGAUAUCACGAAGAACUCCGAUUGCGAAGGCAGCUUACUAACCUGUAACUGACAUUGAUGCUCGAAAGUGUGGGUAUCAAACAGGAUUAGAUACCCUGGUAGUCCACACGGUAAACGAUGAAUACUCGCUGUUUGCGAUAUACGGUAAGCGGCCAAGCGAAAGCGUUAAGUAUUCCACCUGGGGAGUACGCCGGCAACGGUGAAACUCAAAGGAAUUGACGGGGGCCCGCACAAGCGGAGGAACAUGUGGUUUAA